rnacentral:rRNA from 1 species
GAGUUUGAUCCUGGCUCAGGACGAACGCUGGCGGCGUGCCUAAUACAUGCAAGUAGAACGCUGAAGAGAGGAGCUUGCUCUUCUUGGAUGAGUGGCGAACGGGUGAGUAAUACAUAAGUAACCUGGCCUUUAGCGGGGGAUAACUAUUGGAAACGAUAGCUAAGACCGCAUAACAAUGGAUGACACAUGUCAUUUAUUUGAAAGGGGCAAUUGCUCCACUACAAGAUGGACCUGCGUUGUAUUAGCUAGUAGGUGAGGUAACGGCUCACCUAGGCGACGAUACAUAGCCGACCUGAGAGGGUGAUCGGCCACACUGGGACUGAGACACGGCCCAGACUCCUACGGGAGGCAGCAGUAGGGAAUCUUCGGCAAUGGGGGCAACCCUGACCGAGCAACGCCGCGUGAGUGAAGAAGGUUUUCGGAUCGUAAAGCUCUGUUGUAAGUCAAGAACGAGUGUGAGAGUGGAAAGUUCACACUGUGACGGUAGCUUACCAGAAAGGGACGGCUAACUACGUGCCAGCAGCCGCGGUAAUACGUAGGUCCCGAGCGUUAUCCGGAUUUAUUGGGCGUAAAGCGAGCGCAGGCGGUUUGAUAAGUCUGAAGUUAAAGGCUGUGGCUCAACCAUAGUUCGCUUUGGAAACUGUCAAACUUGAGUGCAGAAGGGGAGAGUGGAAUUCCAUGUGUAGCGGUGAAAUGCGUAGAUAUAUGGAGGAACACCGGUGGCGAAAGCGGCUCUCUGGUCUGUAACUGACGCUGAGGCUCGAAAGCGUGGGGAGCGAACAGGAUUAGAUACCCUGGUAGUCCACGCCGUAAACGAUGAGUGCUAGGUGUUGGAUCCUUUCCGGGAUUCAGUGCCGCAGCUAACGCAUUAAGCACUCCGCCUGGGGAGUACGACCGCAAGGUUGAAACUCAAAGGAAUUGAC